AAGCACAAUCUUAACGAUGGAUGUCUUGGCUCUUGUAGCGAUGAAGGCCGCAGCAAAACGCGAUAAGCAAUGAAAAUUGCAAUUACUGUAAAUCAUCAGAAUGCUGAAUGUAAAUUACACC
rnacentral:rRNA from 3 species